AACGAACGCUGGCGGCAGGCUUAACACAUGCAAGUCGAACGCCCCGCAAGGGGAGUGGCAGACGGGUGAGUAACGCGUGGGAAUCUACCUAGUUCUACGGAACAACAGAGGGAAACUUCUGCUAAUACCGUAUACGCCCUAAGGGGGAAAGAUUUAUCGGAAUUAGAUGAGCCCGCGUAAGAUUAGCUAGUUGGUGGGGUAAUGGCCUACCAAGGCGACGAUCUUUAGCUGGUCUGAGAGGAUGAUCAGCCACACUGGGACUGAGACACGGCCCAGACUCCUACGGGAGGCAGCAGUGGGGAAUAUUGGACAAUGGGCGCAAGCCUGAUCCAGCCAUGCCGCGUGAGUGAUGAAGGCCUUAGGGUUGUAAAGCUCUUUCAGUGGGGACGAUAAUGACGGUACCCACAGAAGAAGCCCCGGCUAGCUUCGUGCCAGCCGCCGCGGUAACAC
rnacentral:rRNA from 1 species